rnacentral:rRNA from 1 species
GGGGAAUAUUGCACAAUGGGGGAAACCCUGAUGCAGCGACGCCGCGUGAGUGAAGAAGUAUUUCGGUAUGUAAAGCUCUAUCAGCAGGGAAGAAGAAGGACGGUACCUGAGUAAGAAGCCCCGGCUAACUAC